AUUUAACCCCCUGAGAGCACUAACGUAUCUGAGAGUGCAUUAUGGGAUACAUGCAUAAUUACCUUGAGGGGUUAUCAUUGUAUCAAAAAAAUAUAAAAUGUUAAUAAGCCUCACUGAUCAUCACAGGUUAACAAAUCUUUCUUAUCCCAUUCCAAACCAGAAGUGACUUUAAGCAGAUCUCAAAAACAAACACCUACAAGAUACAUAGUGUCUCAUGUAACGAAGAUCAAAGCUUUGUAAUUACGUGUUUGUUAGUAGAAGGGCGCAGGGUGGUGUGAGAAAGAAGUGGUAUCAUCUGUCACAUAGGAUUGUUGUGGUUAUGGUUGUU